rnacentral:rRNA from 1 species
UACAGAGGGGGCAAGCGUUGUUCGGAAUUACUGGGCGUAAAGGGCGCGUAGGCGGCCUUCUAAGUCGAACGUGAAAUCCCUAGGCUCAACCAAGGACGUGCAUCCGAAACUGCAAAGCUUGAGUACAGAAGAGGAUCGCGGAAUUCCCGGUGUAGAGGUGAAAUUCGUAGAUAUCGGGAGGAACACCAGUGGCGAAGGCGGCGAUCUGGGCUGAUACUGACGCUGAGGUGCGAAAGCGUGGGGAGCAAACAGG